GAUGAAGAACGUAGCGAAAUGCGAUACUUGGUGUGAAUUGCAGAAUCCCGUGAACCAUCGAGUCUUUGAACGCAAGUUGCGCCCGAAGCCAUUAGGCCGAGGGCACGCCUGCCUGGGCGUCACACGUCGUUGCCCCCCCAUCUACUCCUUCGGGAUUGCGGGGGGCGGAUGAUGGCCUCCCGUGCGCCUCGUCGCGCGGUUGGCAUAAAUGCCAAGUCCUCGGCGACGCACGCCACGACAAUCGGUGGUUGCGAAACCUCGGUUGCCCGUCGUGUGCGGUCGUCGCGCAUCGAGGGCUCGAAAAAAUUGCCGGGCUCCGGCUCGGCUUUCAACGCGACCCCAGGUCAGGCGGGGUUACCCGCUGAAUUUAAGCAUAUGAAUAAGCGGAGGA
rnacentral:misc_RNA from 1 species